AUUGAACGCUGGCGGCAUGCCUUACACAUGCAAGUCGAACGGUAACAGGGAGCUUGCUCCGCUGACGAGUGGCGAACGGGUGAGUAAUGUAUCGGAACGUACCAUUCAGUGGGGGAUAACGUAGCGAAAGUUACGCUAAUACCGCAUAUUCUGUGAGCAGGAAAGCAGGGGAUCGCAAGACCUUGCGCUGAUUGAGCGGCCGAUAUCAGAUUAGCUAGUUGGUGAGGUAAAGGCUCACCAAGGCGACGAUCUGUAGCGGGUCUGAGAGGAUGAUCCGCCACACUGGAACUGAGACACGGUCCAGACUCCUACGGGAGGCAGCAGUGGGGAAUUUUGGACAAUGGGGGCAACCCUGAUCCAGCCAUGCCGCGUGAGUGAAGAAGGCCUUCGGUUGUAAGCUCUUUCGGUCCGGGAAAAAUUGACAUCAGUUAAUACCUGGUGUGGAUGAUGGUACCGGAAUAAGAAGCACCGGCUAACUACGUG
rnacentral:rRNA from 1 species